GACGAACGCUGGCGGCGUGCUUAACACAUGCAAGUCGAACGAGAAAGCCCUUCGGGGUAAGUACAGUGGCGAACGGGUGAGUAACACGUGGGCAACCUGCCCCAGAGAGCGGGACAACCCGGGGAAACCCGGGCUAAUACCGCAUGAUGCGUCUUCACUUAAGUGGAGCCGCCAAAUGGUAGCUUCGGCCCCCGCUCUGGGAUUGGCCCGCGCCGGAUUAGCUAGUUGGUUGGGGUAACGGCCCACCAAGGCGACGAUCCGUAGCUGGUCUGAGAGGACGAUCAGCCACACUGGGACUGAGACACGGCCCAGACUCCUACGGGAGGCAGCAGUGGGGAAUCUUGCGCAAUGGGCGAAAGCCUGACGCAGCAACGCCGCGUGGGGGAAGAAGGCCUUCGGGUUGUAAACCUCUUUCAGUAGGGACGAAGCUUCCGGGGUUAAUAGCCUACGGGGUGACGGUACCUACAGAAGAAGCCCCGGCUAACUACGUGCCAGCCGCCGCCGUAA
rnacentral:rRNA from 1 species